rnacentral:lncRNA from 1 species
GAGAGCCAAAGAGAAAAUGAUCAUGUGAGAGCCAAUCCAACUGGACCAACUUCGCAUCGACAAUUUUGAGUUGAACACAAAGGAUCACGAUACCAAUCCUCUCCCAAGACCAACGUCGGUGUAGAACAGUAGAGGCUGGUGCAAAACAACAGCCCAGGUGUUGAGUAGCUCAAACCUAUCGCAAGAAUUGCAAGUGAUCAUGGAAACACCGGAAACAUGCAAAAUAAAGCACAUCUGAGCCUCUUCUUAUUCUUCUCUUCGCCUGCUUUGCCACCAUCACCAGCUUCAUCCUCCCAACCAAGAUCCUCUCUUUCUCUCUCUCCCCAAGUGUCACUGGAACAGUGUUCGCUACUAUAACUACAAUGAGUGGUCCCUUACUUCCCUUGUUGCUAGAUCAUAUCGCCUUCCCUUGUCACUGGGCUCAUCCCCUACCUUGAAGCUGGAAACCGCCAAUCUCCUUUGGCUAGAUCUCACUUUCUCUUCAUCCCUCUGAGUCAAUGUUGGAGCUUAGCAGCUGACAAGGGAGCUGAGGCUGAACCCAAUGCCAAGCCCAUCCAGUGAAUUCCCUGUUCAACCCUGUUCUCUCCUUUUCACUUCUUAUCUUCCAUCAGCCGCCGCUACCACUUGUCACCAAACCUCUACCACAGUCAUUGAACCCCUGCCUCAUCAACCCCUCCCA